GUUAAAUGAAUCAAAUUCUGCUCUUGAUGCUAUUGCAAGACAAUUUAGAAACGGCUUCUUCGAGCUAGUUGAAGAACUCAAGUUAAGACGGACCCUUGAUAAUGAAAAUGAAAAGCAGAUUCAAACUCUAUUCAGUGAAAAAAGCCAAAUACAUCAAAAAUG